rnacentral:lncRNA from 1 species
AUAUGUGAGAGAGAAAGAGAAAGAGAAAGGAAAUCAAAACGAACAGAGACAUAUACAUAUGACGCGUUUGCGUGAGAACGCUUUUACGCAUCAUUUUUGGGGGGGAAAUGAUCAUACAAUGCAUACGUAUAUAUAUAUAUAUAUAAACAUUUAUAUAUGUGUGUGCACAUUUAGAGUUGCGAUCACACAUGCAAUCGUUUUCUUCAGCAACGUCGUUCCUGUCAGUUCAGCUUGAGCGCGUAUUCGACAAUCUUGCAACGGUCAUACGUUUCUUAUAGAUUAUUAUUAUUAUUCAUAUUUUCUUAAUUAGAUUCAAAAUCGCGUGUUUUGUAAUAUAAAUUAGUCUUCUUUUGUUCUCUCUUUAGGUGUCUCGAAAUAAACUUUAAACUCGAAAUUAACUUUCAUAACAGUUAGCUAUAUUCACGCGUUGGUAACAAUAAUAAAGGAAAGUUCUGAGGAAAAAAUAUCUUCCCGUUCGAUGGCACGACGAAUGAACAAACGAACGAACGAACGAUCAUGCGGAAGACGGGCCCAACGUAGCCCGGAAGCGUGUAAAUCGACCUUUAAGGUUCGUCGAUCGGUAAGGCGGACAACACUCGUCGAGUACAGAAGAGUGAGAGAAAAAGGGUGCGCGAAAAGCAGGAAGCGUCGAUGUGGGGCAAAUUCCAGUGACCGUAGCGGUGUAACGAAACUAAGAAGGGCAAAAAAGUUGACCUCGAGUUUCAAGGGUAGAGAAGGCAGUCAUCCGCCCCUCUACGUUAGUAGAAGGGGGGAUCUACGAGCCAUAACUCUCGUAUUCUUCACGAAGGAAACGAACGAAAGAGAGAAGGCGACGUUGACUCGGCGUCGAUGCCGGUAGUCUCCCGCCAUCCCCACCGGCCAAAUCAAGCAUCCCGAUUGGCCGAAGCGUCCUGGCCCUCCUUUGUGAGGGAGCGGGUGAAAGCGUGGCUUGGCAACGUCGCGCAAGUUCAACGCUGCCCGCUAGAAAGAAGGCUAACCUCGUGUGAAAGCGAAAGAGAGAGAAAGAGAGACGGAUCGACGCGUAUGGCGAAGUGGAAGGAGUAGAAGGGAGGAAAGGAGAAAGAAAGAGAGAGAAAGAGAGAGAAAGAGAGAGAGAGAGAGACGAAACGAGCGAACGUUCGACCGGGCCGGACCUCGUCAGGUUGUUCUCUUCCGUGUCCUCUGUGUGCGAAAUCGAACACGCGAGCUUAAUGCGACGAUAAAAGCUAUCCAAAAGAUCUUUCUAUCUUUCUUUCUUUCUCUCUUUCUUCAGAGUCACGCUUUCUUCUCCAUGCGGGCGGACCAUUAGCGUGUUCCACGAGGAGUAUUUACGACUCCUCAGUGGCCGCCAUCGGUAUCACGGCUCGCGUCGCGGUCGAACGUCGCGCGCGCUUUUACGCACGGCGUUAUCGUCGUUACUUCGUCGUCUUCAUCCUCGUCAUCUUCGUCGUCGCCGUUGUCGCCGUUGGUGCUGCUGUUGCUGUUGCUGCUGCGCGUAGGCGCACGAGAGAAAGAUCGAAGGAUUUCAUUCGUUUAGGAGAGAGGGAAAGAGAAAGCGCGAUCGUUUGAGUCGGAAAAAAGAGAGAGAAAAAGAGAGGGGCGGUGGGGGGGGAGAGGUUAAAGAAACAAAGAAAGAACUACGAAGCAAAGUAUGUUCGCGAAAGCUGAUAGAACAAUGGAGUUUGGAUAUAGCGAGCAUAGAUGUGGUAAUAGGAGUGUCGUCGUUGGUAGCGGUGAUUAGAAAAAUUAACGAAUGCGCUUGGUUAGCGUUAGAAAGAAAUAGAAAGAAAGAAAGAAAGAAAGAAA